CUUAGAUCCCUCCCAUGUGUUCUCCAUUCUCAUCAAGCAUUUUAGAAAAAUACUCGUAUCAUUAUCCUCGAGCUUGCAAGCCCGAUCACGAAUAACUCCCGCAGCUCCUGCUGGCUCCCGAGGACACGGAUUUGCUUGUCUGAAGAUCAUCCUAUAGAAAAUGAUAAAUGUAUGUGAACGGGCCUGUGCUCCGUAGCGUCGUGGUGUUUCUGCUGUUGGGUGUCUCCUACAGUAAGCGCAGGUGCAACUACACGGAUAUACUCAGCACGUACAGAGAACUAAUCUUCGUUGAACUUCAGAAUUUGAAUCUGACAGGCACUUUUGACACACCCAAAGAGAGGGACCAUUGUCCCUCAGGAAAGCUGCAGCACGUGUUGCGCUCCAUCCAUGGUAUGACGGAGCAGUUCCUGUGCCAGGGCUGGGACCAGGGACACGGGCGGGGCAGCAGACAGCAGAGGGGCAUGAAGAAGCCAGUGGAGAUGAUGGCAGUGCUGAUCAGACAGAACUGCAGGCACACUGACCUGGUGAGGAGACAGAAGAGAACAGCGCCGUGUGUGACUGCCCAGAGGACGAAGGGAAAGAAUAGGACGAGGAUGAGACUCAUCAGGGCACUGAUAAACUGUUGGCAGAAGCUGCAGAGUUUGUACACACCCACAAAAUAAUUUGAAAAAAAAGUUAUAUUUUUAUCAAAAUUGUUUGAAAAAAGCAUUUAUGGAUUGUGUUUGGUUCUUAUUUGGUAGAGUAGAAUGACAGUUUGUAUGUCAGGAAUGGCCCUCUGUUUAUGACCUUUUACUUCUUGUCUGUACAGUCCCACAUGUAUAAGCUAUAGGUCACCAUAGAUCAGGGAUGGGCCACUUUGAUGUGGGCCGGGGCCACAAAGAAAACAAACUGAUCAUGCUUACUAUAAGUUUAGAUAGCUAGCCGCUAGACUAACUUGCCAAUCUAAAAAUGUUUUAAAGACUUGGGCUAAUUAAGUGACUGCUGAUGCACAACCACAUGUCGAAAUUGCACCUUGUGUAAUCUAUUAUUCUAACUCUUAUCAGUAAGUUGAGACCCGACUGAGUUGCCCCAUUAAUUAUGGUUGUUAGAGGAUGGUUUUACAAUGCAGUGAAAAUAUUUACUUGUAAUACCUUGGUGCACACACAUUUUAUAACUCUUAGCUAUCUCACAAUCCAGAUAUUGUUUUUGUGAAACCGAUAGAUACAUUUGCUGUUCUAUGAAAUGUAUUCAAGAUGCCCACUGAUAAAGGUUUCAUAAACUGCACCAUUGGUUGUUUAUUCCUGUAAUGAUCAAAACAUGGGCCAUUACUAGAUACCUAUUGUUUAGUUCUCUUGUUAUAAGAAAUUGUUAUCAAAAUGGACAAAAACAAGAAACUUCCCAAGUUGCAUAACUUCCAGAACGUUUCUCAUUCUAGGUUUUUGUUUCUGUGGGGAAAGAUAUUCCACAUGCACAGUCAUGUUAAUAUGAACUCUGUAGCACUGUUAGUGCUAUCCUGGAUCCUUGGGACGUCCAUACCAUAAACUUUUAUUUAAUUUUUUUAUUUAUUUAUUUCACCUUUAUUUAACUAGGUAGGGAAGUUGAGAACAAGUUCUCAUUUACAACUGCAACCUGGCCAAGAUAAAGCAAAGCAGUUUGACACAUAUAACAACACAGAGUUACACAUGGAGUAAAACAAACAUACAGUAGAAAAAUAAGUCUAUAUACAAUGUGAGCAAAUGAGGUGACAUAAGGGCAAUAAAUAGGCCAUGGUGGUGAAGUAAAUACAAUAUAGCAAUUAAAACACUGGAAUGGUAGAUUUGACAGUAGAUGAGUGUGCUAAGUAGAAAUACUGGGGUGCAAAGGAGCAAAAUAAAUAAAUAAAUAAAUACAGUAGGGGAAGUGGUAGUUGUUUGGGCUAUUUAUAGAUGGGCUACGUACAGGUGCAGUGAUCUGUGAGCUGCUCUGACAGCUGGUGCUUAAAGCUAGUGAGGGAAAUAAGUGUUUCCAGUUUCAGAGAUUUUUGUAGUUCGUUCCAGUCAUUGGCAGCAGAGAACUGGAAGGAGAGGCGGCCAAAGGAGGAAUUGGCUGCUGGCUGCUGG
rnacentral:lncRNA from 1 species